rnacentral:rRNA from 1 species
GACGAACGCUGGCGGCGUGCCUAAUACAUGCAAGUAGAACGCUGAAGGAGGAGCUUGCUUCUCUGGAUGAGUUGCGAACGGGUGAGUAACGCGUAGGUAACCUGCCUGGUAGCGGGGGAUAACUAUUGGAAACGAUAGCUAAUACCGCAUAAGAGUAGAUGUUGCAUGACAUUUGCUUAAAAGGUGCAAUUGCAUCACUACCAGAUGGACCUGCGUUGUAUUAGCUAGUUGGUGAGGUAACGGCUCACCAAGGCGACGAUACAUAGCCGACCUGAGAGGGUGAUCGGCCACACUGGGACGGAGACACGGCCCAGACUCCUACGGGAGGCAGCAGUAGGGAAUCUUCGGCAAUGGACGGAAGUCUGACCGAGCAACGCCGCGUGAGUGAAGAAGGUUUUCGGAUCGUAAAGCUCUGUUGUAAGAGAAGAACGAGUGUGAGAGUGGAAAGUUCACACUGUGACGGUAUCUUACCAGAAAGGGACGGCUAACUACGUG